rnacentral:rRNA from 1 species
UACGGAGGGGGCUAGCGUUGUUCGGAAUUACUGGGCGUAAAGCGCACGUAGGCGGACUGUUAAGUCGGGGGUGAAAUCCUGGGGCUCAACCUCAGAAUUGCCUCCGAUACUGGCAGUCUCGAGUGCGGGAGAGGUGAGUGGAAUUCCCAGUGUAGAGGUGAAAUUCGUAGAUAUUGGGAAGAACACCAGUGGCGAAGGCGGCUCACUGGCCCGUAACUGACGCUGAGGUGCGAAAGCGUGGGAGCAACAGGAGUAGAACCC